rnacentral:tRNA from 1 species
GGCUUUGUGGUGAAUAUCAUGUCAGGUUGCAAGUCUGAAGAAGUGCUGUUUAAUUUAGGCACCGUGGCCU